UACGUAGGGUGCGAGCGUUAAUCGGAAUUACUGGGCGUAAAGGGUGCGCAGGCGGCUCUUCAAGCCAGGCGUGAAAGCCCCGGGCUUAACCUGGGAAUGGCGCUUGAAACUACAGGACUGGAGUAUGGCAGAGGGAGGUGGAAUUCCACGUGUAGCGGUGAAAUGCGUAGAGAUGUGGAGGAACACCGAUGGCGAAGGCAGCCUCCUGGGCCAAUACUGACGCUCAUGCACGAAAGCGUGGGGAGCAAACAGG
rnacentral:rRNA from 1 species